GCCCUUGCGAAAAGACCCAGGGAAUCACUAUAUUAAGGGCGCCGGUAAAACGGCUAUGGCGAUAAACGCCUGACGGAAUAAGCGUUGCGGACCCGGGGGCAGUACCCGGCGCCUCCACCAUUACCCUUUCGCUCCCCUAACGGCUCGUGGGCCUCUAUUGGGGAGCAGCAGAUGGGGGCGAAACAGGAUCGACGCGCGUGGUAAAGGUCAGGUCUUUGCCCGGCAUGGCUCCACCGUUAUCGGGCUAAAAGCAAUAGUUGCCAACGACAACUAUGCUCAGGCUCGCCUCGCCGCUUAACGCGGUCGGGUGAUCCGACAGUAAAGUCCCCGACCACAGAGCUGGCCGGGGCGGGGUUCGGGAGGCGCCUGGCAACAGAAGCCUCCCACU
rnacentral:tmRNA from 1 species